GACGAACGCUGGCGGCGUGCUUAACACAUGCAAGUCGAACGGUGAAGCGCCUUCCUUUUUGGUGGGUGUGGAUGAGUGGCGAACGGGUGAGUAACACGUGAGUAACCUGCCCCCUUCUUCUGGAUAACCGCAUGAAAGUGUGGCUAAUACGGGAUAUUCUGGGUCUGUCGCAUGAUGGGUCUGGGAAAGAUAUUGUUUCGGUGGGGAUGGGCUCGCGGCCUAUCAGCUUGUUGGUGGGGUGAUGGCCUACCAAGGCGGUGACGGGUAGCCGGCCUGGGAGGGUGGACGGUCACACUGGGACUGAGACACGGCCCAGACUCCUACGGGAGGCAGCAGUGGGGAAUAUUGCACAAUGGGCGCAAGCCUGAUGCAGCGACGCCGCGUGAGGGAUGGAGGCCUUCGGGUUGUGAACCUCUUUCGCCAGUGAAGCAGGCCUGCCUCGUUUGUGGGUGGGUUGACGGUAGCUGGAGAAGAAGCGCCGGCUAACUACGUG
rnacentral:rRNA from 1 species